CACGUAGGGCGCGAGCGUUGUCCGGAAUUAUUGGGCGUAAAGAGCUCGUAGGCGGCCUGUUGCGUCCGCUGUUGAAAGCCCGGGGCUUAACCCCGGGUCGGCAGUGGAUACGGGCAGGCUAGAGGUAGGUAGGGGAGAAUGGAAUUCCCGGUGUAGCGGUGAAAUGCGCAGAUAUCGGGAGGAACACCAGUGGCGAAGGCGGCUCACGUGGCCC
rnacentral:rRNA from 1 species